AAAGUACUCCCUCCGUCCCAAAAUUAUUGUCUUAGAUUUGUCUAGAUAUGGAUGUAUCAAGUCACAUUUUAGUAUUAGAUACAUCCGUAUCUAGACAAAUCUAAGACAAGAAAUUUGGGACAGAGGGAGUAGUUG
rnacentral:pre_miRNA from 1 species